rnacentral:rRNA from 1 species
CCUACGGGUGACAGCAGUGAGGAAUAUUGGUCAAUGGCCGCAGGGCUGAACCAGCCAAGUCGCGUGAGGGAUGACGGUCCUAUGGAUUGUAAACCUCUUUUGUCAGGGAGCAAAGGGCGCCACGUGUGGCGCUUUGCGAGUACCUGAAGAAAAAGCAUCGGCUAACUCCGUGCCAGCAGCCGCGGUACUACGGAGGAUGCGAGCGUUAUCCGGAUUUAUUGGGUUUAAAGGGUGCGCAGGCGGAAUGUCAAGUCAGCGGUAAAAUUUCGGGGCUCAACCCCGUCGUGCCGUUGAAACUGGCGUUCUUGAGUGAGCGAGAAGUAUGCGGAAUGCGUGGUGUAGCGGUGAAAUGCAUAGAUAUCACGCAGAACUCCGAUUGCGAAGGCAGCAUACCGGCGCUCAACUGACGCUCAUGCACGAAAGCGUGGGUAUCGAACAGGAUUAGAUACCCCAGUAGUC